rnacentral:rRNA from 1 species
CCUACGAGUGGCAGCAGUGAGGAAUAUUGGUCAAUGGGCGCAAGCCUGAACCAGCCAAGUCGCGUGAGGGAUGACGGUCCUAUGGAUUGUAAACCUCUUUUGCCGGGGAGCAAGGCCCGCCACGUGUGGCGGGAAGGAGAGUACCCGAAGAAAAAGCAUCGGAUAACUCCGUGCCAGCAGCCGCGGUAAUAAGGAGGACGCGAGCGUUAUCCGGAUUUAUUGGGUUUAAAGGGUGCGUAGGCGGAAGGUUAAGUCAGCGGUAAAAUGUCGGUGCUCAACACCGGCCUGCCGUUGAAACUGGUCUUCUUGAGUGAGCGAGAAGUAUGCGGAAUGCGUGGUGUAGCGGUGAAAUGCAUAGAUAUCACGCAGAACUCCGAUUGCGAAGGCAGCAUACCGGCGCUCAACUGACGCUGAGGCACGAAAGCGUGGGGAUCGAACAGGAUUAGAUACCCCUGUAGUC